GCUUAACACAUGCAAGUCGAACGAGAUCUUCGGAUCUAGUGGCAGACGGGUGAGUAACGCGUGGGAACCUGCCCAGUAGUAGAGGACAACUUGGGGAAACUUAAGCUAAUACUUUAUACGUCCUUCGGGAGAAAGCUUUAUGCGCUAUUGGAUGGGCCCGCGUUAGAUUAGUUUGUUGGUGAGGUAACGGCUCACCAAGACUACGAUCUAUAGCUGGUCUGAGAGGAUGAUCAGCCACACUGGGACUGAGACACGGCCCAGACUCCUACGGGAGGCAGCAGUGGGGAAUAUUGGACAAUGGGGGCAACCCUGAUCCAGCGAUGCCGCGUGAGUGAUGAAGGCCCUAGGGUUGUAAAACUCUUUCGUCAGGGAAGAUAAUGACGGUACCUGAAGAAGAAGAUCCGGCUAACUCCGUGCCAGCAGCCGCGGUAAUACGGAGGGAUCUAGCGUUAUUCGGAAUUACUGGGCGUAAAGCGAGCGUAGGCGGAUUUGUAAGUUGGAGGUGAAAUCCCAGAGCUUAACUCUGGAACUGCCUUCAAAACUACAUUUCUUGAGUUUGGUAGAGGAGAGUGGAAUUCCUAGUGUAGAGGUGAAAUUCGUAGAUAUUAGGAGGAACACCAGUGGCGAAGGCGACUCUCUGGGCCAAUACUGACGCUGAGGUUCGAAAGCAUGGGUAGCGAACAGGAUUAGAUACCCUGGUAGUCCAUGCAGUAAACGAUGAGUGCUAGAUGUUGGGAAUUUAAGUUUCCAGUAUCGCAGUUAACGCGUUAAGCACUCCGCCUGGGAAG
rnacentral:rRNA from 1 species